UACGUAGGUGGCAAGCGUUGUCCGGAUUUAUUGGGUUUAAAGGGUGCGUAGGCGGCCCUGUAAGUCAGUGCUGAAAUAUCCCGGCUUAACCGGGAGGGUGGCAUUGAUACUGCGGGGCUAGAGUACAGAUGAGGUAGGCGGAAUUGACGGUGUAGCGGUGAAAUGCUAGAUAUCGUCAAGAACACCUAUAGCGAAGGCAGCUUACUAGGCUGUAACUGACGCUGAGGCACGAAAGUGUGGGGAUCAAACAGG
rnacentral:rRNA from 1 species